rnacentral:rRNA from 1 species
AACGAACGCUGGCGGCAUGCCUAACAUAUGCAAGUCGAACGAGACCUUCGGGUCUAGUGGCGCACGGGUGCGUAACGCGUGGGAACCUGCCCUUAGGUUCGGAAUAACUCCCCGAAAGGGGUGCUAAUACCGGAUAAUGUCUUCGGACCAAAGAUUUAUCGCCUUUGGAUGGGCCCGCGUUGGAUUAGCUAGUUGGUAGGGUAAAAGCCUACCAAGGCGACGAUCCAUAGCUGGUCUGAGAGGAUGAUCAGCCACACUGGGACUGAAACCCGGCCCAGACUCCUACGGGAGGCAGCAGUGGGGAAUAUUGGACAAUGGGCGAAAGCCUGAUCCAGCAAUGCCGCGUGAGUGAUGAAGGCCUUAGGAUUGUAAAGCUCUUUUACCCGGGAUGAUAAUGACAGUACCGAGAGAAUAAGCUCCGGCUAACUCCGUG